rnacentral:lncRNA from 1 species
AUCUCCAUUGUUCCUGCCAGCUCUGGACCCCAGGCUGCAUGAGACGUAGGUCCCAGGGGACACCCGACCCCGUGGCCCCAGUCUUAGGUAAACUUAGGAAUCAGAACAACACUCACCCCUAUGCCGCGCUUGCUCCAUUUCCCCUUGUCUAUUUCUGCUCACCAAGCAUCCAGCUGACAUUGCAUUCAAAGCAGCAUUUCAGCUUAGAAAUCGCUUCUAGUCCAUCACGGUGCUUGCCAUGUGUCUCCAAGGCUUUAUUAGGUGUGUUUUUAGUUGUCCUGAUAAUCAGUUCACCCCAGGGUGCUGAUGGCUGAUAAUACUGGCGCUUCCCUCCCUACCCCCAUGCGUUGCACAGGGAGGGUGAGUCAUGUGGAGAUGGAUGCAGCCCCCUGGGCAGUGGGGGUGCAGGUGCUGUGCAGGGAGGAGUCUUAGGGCGUUUUUACUGUCUUACUGCCCUCUAAGCACGGGACCCUUUGGAUCAUUUACUAGAUUGGCUAAACUAGAACCGGAUGGAAAUAUUCUGUACUAUGGUCCCCUUAAUUACAUUUAAGAAUACUUGUCAGGCCAUAUAUCACAGGUUUUUAAUUAGAAAAGUAUCCUCCUCUCGCCAGUAAGGACUUGCAGAGAUGGGGGUGGGGGCUGGAUGGAGGGUGGCACUUUUUUGGCAAAAAGAAGUUUGGAGCAGAGUGUCACUAGUGGCCUCUCUGAAGACUGGUCCUCGUCUUUUAAAACCGAUGGCUGGAAUUUCUUCCAGUUCCAAACCUCUUGUUAUUUGUCCUCUCUUCUUGUUCACAAAUGUGCUAUCAACAUUCAAACAAUGGAUAGUCAGCUAUCCAUUGUAAAUGGACCUUGCUGGAGUCCAGGGCUAGCAGAAAUGACAGGGUCUAAAAUGACAUUUAUCAAGUACUUGCUAUAUGCUUAUAUAUGCUUUUUAUAUGAAGGUUAAGAAGCUUGAGGCAUUUGCCCAGUUUCCACAACCAAAAGGGGCAGAGUCGCCAGUGGCAUUAAGCCUGUGUUACUCCAAAGCCCAUAAUGACCAGUCUUACUAGACCAUUCCUCUCAGGAAAGAUCCUGUGAGACAGGUACUCUUUUGGUGUCCUGUCUCCCAGCCUCUCAAAACAGCCAAACACGGACCUUAGACAGAAUGCGGCUUCAGAGGUAGAAGGGUCUUGGUUUCACCUUCAGGAAACCUCCUGGGUUUCAGUUGAGCUGGCAGAAGAAGAUCAUGUAUCUGAAAGACCCUGCAUGGAAUGUUAAUCCUCACACCACUCUCCUGCUGGUGCUCCUUUGUAAACAGAGUUGGCCUGUUUCCUCUCAUCUCUGGCUCCAUGACUUCAAUCCUCCUGCAGCUUCCACUGCCCCUAUCUGGCUCAUGUCUUGCUGUCUGGUGUCAUGAACUGGGAGUGCAGUAAAGAGGAGUGACAAGCCUGAGGGGCCACGUUCAUACCUGCCACUGCCAACUGUCCUGAUGUAACUGCUUUGUCAUCUUGCCUGCCAGGAUUUGUGACAAGCAAGGGAGAGAUGCACUGACCUUCUGCCAGGUAUAGAACUAUUGAAUGGUACAGUUUGAGAUCUUCGAAACCAUCAGGACUGAUCAUUUUCUGGCUACUUUCUACAUAGGAAUCCUAGAGUUCCUUGGAGAGGAUAUGAAGGUUAUUCUCAGGCCAUGCAGAUGGGCAAGAAAGGAUGUGCGUCCAUGGUUCCUCUUCAAAUCCAACCAAAACAGCCUUGCUUCCGUUGGCUUUAUAUAAUACUGCAACUCUUGAUAAUCUGAUUUAACACAAAUUUCCUCAUUGAGUUUCUCCUCAUGAAGAAACGGCCUCAGUGAGGUAAAUCGGAAUGCACAGGAGCACAUAGCAGGUUAGUGCAGACCAGAAAUCAAACCCAGGCUUUCUGACUGCUCAAUAGACCACAAUCUACCAUGCUACCAUGGAAACUUUAAAACAGAUGAAAGUAAAAACAAACAAACAACAACUUAAAAAAACAAAAACAAAAACAAAAGCAAAACCCAGAGCCUCUCUAGGAAAUACCAACGUGCUUUUGCCAAGUGGGGUUUCUCUCACUUCAUAAGAGCAGUAAACACUAAACCAAGGGAAUGUGAAUUUAGAGGUUAGAAAAGAUAACCAGAGAUUUGGCCGUGCGUGGGGCUCAUGCCUGUAAUCCCAGCACUUUGGGAGGCUGAGGCUGGUGGGUUGCCUGAGGUCAGGAGUUUGAGACCAGCCUGGCCAACAUAGUGAAACCCUGUCUCUACUAAAAAUACAAAAAUUAGCUGGGUGUGGUGGCGUGCACCUGUAAUCCCAGCUACUAGGGAGGCUGAGGCAGGAGAAUCGCUUGAACUGGAGAGGUGGAGGUUGCAGUGAGCCGAGAUGGUGCCAUUGCACUCCAGCCCGGGCAAGAAGAUUGAAAUUCCAUCUCAAAAAAAAAAAAAAAAGAAGAAGAAGAAGAAAAGAUGCCAGAGAUUUGGCGGGGUGCCGGGCUCAUGCCUGUAAUCCCAGCACUUUGGGAGGCCAAAUGGACAGAUCACUUAAAGUUAGGAGUUCCAGAAAAGAUGCCAGAGGUUGGGCCUUUACAUUGUUUUGUAAAUUCGUCAAACCUUAAUCUUAUUUAACUUCCCCACCUAUACAAAAAUUAAUGCAGUAAUUGCUUUUUAAGGAAGCAUUCCAAAGGCCAAAUAAUUCAUAUAUGUCAAGUACCCUGGGAUUCAGGAAAGAAAAAUUCUCUAUAGCUCUAAAGCAAGGAUUAUAAUUUGAGGUUUCCUGACAGUUUUUUUUAAGAAAAGAAAUACCAACCUUUCUUUUCUGGGCCAAAUGCCAAGGUAGGUAAUAACCCCUUGCCCAUUUUCUUUCCCCAAGCUGUUUUAACUAGAUAAGAGCUCUGCCUUCAUUUCCUUUUGUGAACUGACUUGGGAUGUUGCCACAUGCCCUUCAACUACUGUCAAUGCUCUAGUUUGCUGAGUGCUUUCCCCUUCAGAAUGGAAAAGGUUUUGGCAUAAAUAUCUAGCUUUCUUCAAGGUACAAAAUGCUUUCCAAGGAGCAGAGGACAGAGGGAACAAACUUUCAUGUUUCCCAAUUGUAUUAGUCUGUUCUCAUGCUGCUAAUAAAGACAUACCCAAGACUGUGUAAUUUAUAAAGGAAAAAGGUUUUACUGACUCACAGUUCCACAUGGCUGGGGAGGCCUCACAAUCAUGGUGGAAGAUGAAGGAAGAGCAAAGGGAUGUCUUCCAUGGCCAGCAAAAAGAGAAUGAAAGCCAAGGGAAGGAGAAAACACCUUAUAAAAUCAUCAGAUCUCAUGAGACUUAUUCACUACCAUGACAACGGUAUGGGUGAACUGCCCCCAUGAUUCAGUUAUCUCCCACCGGGUCCCUCCCACAAAAUGUGGGAAUUAUGGGAGCUACAAUUCAAGAUGAGAUUUGGGUGGGGACAGAGCCAAACCAUAGCACCAAUACUAGAUCCCUCAGCUUCAAGGUGGCUCCAGUGAUCCUAAGAGGAUCAAGGAAGCCCUACCUCCCUGCUUGUCCUGGAUGUCUCUGACACAUGUUAAGGGAAAAGCAUUAAUAAAGUGCUCAAGAAACAAUUGUUCAAUAGGUCAGUCUUAUAGUCAAUACCUCAUCCCAUGCUCUGUCCCCUACUCUUUGAAAAACUGCCCAAAGAAACAAUGGAUCCACGGAGUCACAAAAACAGGGCAUCCAGUGACCCUCCCCAUCUUACCAGCAAUGUGACUUUCCCACAGUAUAACGACAGCAGUGCCCAGAGCCCAAUACAAGCAGGGCUCUACACUGAGACAGAGCUGAGUUCUAGUAGCAACUACCCUCCUUAUAGCAGUGUUAUUUUAGGCAAGUUUCUCAGCUUCUGGAAGGUUCUUUUCUCAGGCUUACAUACUUUUUACCCGAAAAGAUCUUGGAGUCGUCCAUAUCAGCACAAGCAAUCUACAUUAUUAGUUUUUUUAAUGGCUGCACAGCAUUCCAUGAUAUGGCUGUACCAUUACUUAACUAUCGAUGAACAUUUAGGCAGUUUCCAGUCUCUUUCUGCAGGAGCCAAUGCUGCAAUGUGGUGGGUCAUAACUUU